UACGGGGGGGGCAAGCGUUGUUCGGAAUUACUGGGCGUAAAGGGCUCGUAGGCGGCCAACUAAGUCAGACGUGAAAUCCCUCGGCUUAACCGGGGAACUGCAUCUGAUACUGGAUGGCUUGAGUUCGGGAGAGGGAUGCGGAAUUCCAGGUGUAGCGGUGAAAUGCGUAGAUAUCUGGAGGAACACCGGUGGCGAAGGCGGCAUCCUGGACCGAUAUUGACGCUGAGGAGCGAAAGCCAGGGGAGCAAACGGG
rnacentral:rRNA from 1 species